rnacentral:rRNA from 1 species
CGGACAGCAAUAUGAAGGUCAGGCUGAAGACCUUACCCGAUUAGCUGAGAGGUGGUGCAUGGCCGUCGUCAGUUCGUACUGUGAAGCAUCCUGUUAAGUCAGGCAACGAGCGAGACCCACGUCCACAGUUGCCAGCAUACCCUCCGGGGUGAUGGGUACACUGUGGAGACCGCCGCUGCUAAAGCGGAGGAAGGAGUGGGCAACGGUAGGUCAGUAUGCCCCGAAUCUCCCGGGCUACACGCGGGCUACAAUGGUUGGUACAAUGGGCAUCUACCCCGAAAGGGGAAGGAAAUCUCUUAAAGCCAAUCGUAGUUCGGAUUGAGGGCUGCAACUCGCCCUCAUGAAGCUGGGAUCCGUAGUAAUCGCGUUUCAACAGAACGCGGUGAAUACGUCCCUGCUCCUU